rnacentral:rRNA from 1 species
AGAACGAACGCUGGCGGCGCGCCUAAUACAUGCAAGUCGAACGAGAUAGCAAUAUCUAGUGGCGCACGGGAGAGUAACACGUGGAUAAUCUCCCCUCGAGAGAAGAAUAACUAGUCGAAAGACUGGCUAAUACUUCGUAAGACCACAGAAGCGAAUGCUUCAGGGGUAAAAGUCGUAAGACGCUUGAGGAUGAGUCUGCGUCCCAUUAGCUAGUUGGUGAGGUAAUGGCUCACCAAGGCAACGAUGGGUAGCUGGUCUGAGAGGAUGAUCAGCCUCACUGGAACUGACACACGGUCCAGACUCCUACGGGAGGCAGCAGUAGGGAAUAUUGCACAAUGGGCGAAAGCCUGAUGCAGCGACGCCGCGUGAGUGAUGAAGGACUUCGGUUUGUAAAGCUCUGUUCUUAGGAAUAAAAAUAGAAUGUACCUGAGGAGAAAGGGACGGACUAACGUCGUGCCAGCAGCCGCGGUAA